rnacentral:rRNA from 1 species
UACGUAGGGUGCGAGCGUUGUCCGGAAUUAUUGGGCGUAAAGAGCUUGUAGGCGGUUUGUCGCGUCUGCUGUGAAAAUCCGGGGCUCAACCCGGACUUGCAGUGGGUACGGGCAGACUAGAGUGUGGUAGGGGAGACUGGAAUUCCUGGUGUAGCGGUGAAAUGCGCAGAUAUCGGGAGGAACACCGGUGGCGAAGGCGGUUCUCUGGGCCUGUACUGACGCUGAGGAGCGAAAGCGUGGGGAGCGAACAGG